GCCAUGGGAGCGCUGGCACUCACCCCCAGGGUGAGCGGGCUCUGGCAGCUGCUCUGUCCCCAGUGCUUGGCCAGAGGGAAAGCUCCCAAGGUGGACCGUACUCGGAAGCACUUGGCAUGCAACCAGUUGCUCAGUGCCCGGGUUGUUGGGCAGGUGAUGUGGAGACUUGUUGAAGGAUGUUCAAUGUGAAAGGGGCUUGCUGUCUUCUGUGAUGCAGUAGUGUGUGUGGGAGGAGCAGGGGGGGGUGCACAAGCCUGGCUAGGCUGCUUCCAGUACCUGGGCGACUAGCAGGGUUAGAGCUAGUUUGGGUGUUGACGCUUGGCACUGUAUUGUGCUGCCCAGGUGUCCAGAGGAGCAGAUAUAGUUGACGGGCUGUAUGGCGAAGGCUGCUUGCAGGCUUGAUGGGGCGCUUGAUGCUUUUUUUCUGUACGGCUUAUGUGGUGCACAGGAGGGGAGUUAUAGUGCUGCAGCCUGUCAACACGAUUAGGGCUGGAUAUCUGUUCUUAAGUACUUUAAGAGUUCUGUUGUUGUAGUAGGUACCUGCCAUGAGAACUUUUUAAAAUCUUGCAUGGGCAUCCCAGAAGAUGGGGCUGGGAUGGACCUAGCAUGGGCAUAUAAUCUAUCUUGGUGUCCCAAGGCAGGAUCACCUAUUUGUCUGACGUGCUCUUAAGUCCUCAAUGAUGGGGAGUGUAU